rnacentral:rRNA from 1 species
CAACUUUCAGCAACGGAUCUCUUGGCUCUCGCAUCGAUGAAGAACGCAGCGAAAUGCGAUAAGUAAUGUGAAUUGCAGAUUCAGUGAAUCAUCGAAUCUUUGAACGCACCUUGCGCUCCUUGGUAUUCCGAGGAGCAUGCCUGUUUGAGUGUCAUU